rnacentral:rRNA from 1 species
AUUGAACGCUGGCGGAAUGCUUUACACAUGCAAGUCGAACGGCAGCACGGACUUCGGUCUGGUGGCGAGUGGCGAACGGGUGAGUAAUGUAUCGGAACGUGCCCAGUCGUGGGGGAUAACGUAGUGAAAAUUACGCUAAUACCGCAUACGAUCUAUGGAUGAAAGCGGGGGAUCGCAAGACCUCGCGCGAUUGGAGCGGCCGAUAUCAGGUUAGGUAGUUGGUGGGGGAAAGGCCCACCAAGCCAACGAUCUGUAGCUGGUCUGAGAGGACGACCAGCCACACUGGAACUGAGACACGGUCCAGACUCCUACGGGAGGCAGCAGUGGGGAAUUUUGGACAAUGGGCGAAAGCCUGAUCCAGCCAUUCCGCGUGCAGGAUGAAGGCCCUCGGGUUGUAAACUGCUUUUGUACAGAACGAAAAGGUUUCUACUAAUACUAGGAGCUCAUGACGGUACUGUAAGAAUAAGCACCGGCUAACUACGUGCCAGCCGCCGCAGUAA